rnacentral:rRNA from 1 species
GAUGAACGCUAGCGGCAGGCUUAAUACAUGCAAGUCGAGGGGCAGCAUGAUUGUAGCAAUACAAUUGAUGGCGACCGGCAAACGGGUGCGGAACACGUACACAACCUUCCAACAAGUGGGGGAUAGCCCAGAGAAAUUUGGAUUAAUACCCCGUAACAUAGCGAUGUGGCAUCACAUUGCUAUUAUAGACUUUUCGCUUGUUGAUGGGUGUGCGGCUGAUUAGAUAGUUGGCGGGGUAACGGCCCACCAAGUCUACGAUCAGUAGCUGAUGUGAGAGCAUGAUCAGGCACACGGGCACUGAGACACGGGCCCGACUCCGACGGGAGGCAGCAGUAAGGAAUAUUGGACAAUGGACGCAAGUCUGAUCCAGCCAUGCCGCGUGAAGGAUUAAGGUCCUCUGGAUUGUAAACUUCUUUUAUAAGGGACGAAAAAAGGCUUUUCUAAGUCGUCUGACGGUACCUUAUGAAUAAGCACCGGCUAACUCCGUGCCAGCCGCCGCCGUAAAAC